AGUGAACGCUGGCGGUAGGCCUAACACAUGCAAGUCGAACGGCAGCACAGUAAGAGCUUGCUCUUACGGGUGGCGAGUGGCGGACGGGUGAGGAAUACAUCGGAAUCUACUUUUUCGUGGGGGAUAACGUAGGGAAACUUACGCUAAUACCGCAUACGACCUACGGGUGAAAGCAGGGGAUCUUCGGACCUUGCGCGACUGAAUGAGCCGAUGUCGGAUUAGCUAGUUGGCGGGGUAAGGGCCCACCAAGGCGACGAUCCGUAGCUGGUCUGAGAGGAUGAUCAGCCACACUGGAACUGAGACACGGUCCAGACUCCUACGGGAGGCAGCAGUGGGGAAUAUUGGACAAUGGGCGCAAGCCUGAUCCAGCCAUACCGCGUGGGUGAAGAAGGCCUUCGGGUUGUAAAGCCCUUUUGUUGGGAAAGAAAAGCAGCAGGUUAAUACCCCGCUGUUCUGACGGUACCCAAAGAAUAAGCACCGGCUAACUUCGUG
rnacentral:rRNA from 1 species